AUGGAUCUACACCCCCAAGUGUUGUGCUGGAAUGUUCGCGGCCUGAACAAUCCGGCAAAGCGCAAGGCUGUUAGAGAGUUUGUGAGCUCGGUGAAGUGUAACCUGGUCUGUUUCCAGGAGACCAAGUUGGAUUUAAUAGAUCAUUUCAUAGUAAUGCAAUGCCUAGGGCCGUCUUAUGACGGCUUCGCUUACUUGCCGUCCCAGGAAACU
rnacentral:rRNA from 1 species